CGAGAGAUAGACGCUGUCAAUCAAACUCCACAAGAUCAGUCAUCAGAUGAAGAUGCCUCCUCAGGUAAUGUUCCUGGCUAUUGCUGUUUUUUUGGUGACAGUAACAAAUGCUUAUCCAUCCACAUUGUACAAAAGCGUUCCUGCUGGCAAC